rnacentral:rRNA from 1 species
AGUGAACGCUGGCGGUAGGCCUAACACAUGCAAGUCGAACGGCAGCACAGGAGAGCUUGCUCUCUGGGUGGCGAGUGGCGGACGGGUGAGGAAUACAUCGGAAUCUACUCUGUCGUGGGGGAUAACGUAGGGAAACUUACGCUAAUACCGCAUACGACCUACGGGUGAAAGCAGGGGACCUUCGGGCCUUGCGCGAUUGAAUGAGCCGAUGUCGGAUUAGCUAGUUGGCGGGGCAAAGGCCCACCAAGGCGACGAUCCGUAGCUGGUCUGAGAGGAUGAUCAGCCACAAUGGAACUGAGACACGGUCCAGACUCCUACGGGAGGCAGCAGGGGGGAAUAUUGGACAAUGGGCGCAAGCCUGAUCCAGCCAUACCGCGUGGGUGAAGAAGGCCUUCGGGUUGUAAGGCCCUUUUGUUGGGAAAGAAAUCCAGCUGGCUAAUACCCGGUUGGGAUGACGGUACCCAAAGAAUAAGCACCGGCUAACUUCGUGCCAGCCGCCGCGGUAA